rnacentral:rRNA from 1 species
UACGUAGGUCUCAAGCGUUGUUCGGAUUCAUUGGGCGUAAAGGGUGCGUAGGCGGCGCGGUAAGUCGGGUGUGAAAUCUCGGAGCUUAACUCCGAAACUGCAUUCGAUACUGCCGUGCUUGAGGACUGGAGAGGAGACUGGAAUUUACGGUGUAGCGGUGAAAUGCGUAGAUAUCGUAAGGAAGACCAGUGGCGAAGGCGGGUCUCUGGGCCGAUACUGACGCUGAGGAGCGAAAGCCAGGGGAGCGAACGGG